GAUGAACGCUGGCGGCGUGCCUAAUACAUGCAAGUCGAGCGAACAGACGAGGAGCUUGCUCCUCUGACGUUAGCGGCGGACGGGUGAGUAACACGUGGAUAACCUACCUAUAAGACUGGGAUAACUUCGGGAAACCGGAGCUAAUACCGGAUAAUAUAUUGAACCGCAUGGUUCAAUAGUGAAAGACGGUUUUGCUGUCACUUAUAGAUGGAUCCGCGCCGCAUUAGCUAGUUGGUAAGGUAACGGCUUACCAAGGCAACGAUGCGUAGCCGACCUGAGAGGGUGAUCGGCCAAACUGGAACUGAGACACGGUCCAGACUCCUACGGGAGGCAGCAGUAGGGAAUCUUCCGCAAUGGGCGAAAGCCUGACGGAGCAACGCCGCGUGAGUGAAGAAGGUCUUCGGAUCGUAAAACUCUGUUAUUAGGGAAGAACAAAUGUGUAAGUAACUAUGCACGUCUUGACGGUACCUAAUCAGAAAGCCACGGCUAACUACGUG
rnacentral:rRNA from 1 species